rnacentral:lncRNA from 10 species
CCGGUCCCCGACCUCCGGGCCUUCCCGGACAUCCCUUUCCAGCUGCGCGUUCGGAGUAUCCCGGAGCUGUUACUCAUUCCCGGCCUCCCGCGGUCUCGAGCGCUUUCCGGGUUAUUCAUCGCGGCCCCAACACCCUGUGGCCACCCGCCCUGACUCAGUUCCUUCUCGAAUUCCUCGACCCAGAGCCCCCCACAUUUUCCGGGGAAACCCUGUUCCAGGCGCAGGCGUUCGGGACCCAGCCCCUACCUGGGACGCAGGUGUGGAGCAGCAGCAGCAGCGGCAGCAGCG